AUUGAACGCUGGCGACAUGCCUUACACAUGCAAGUCGAACGGCAGCACGGGUGCUUGCCCCUGGUGGCGAGUGGCGAACGGGUGAGUAAUACAUCGGAACAUGUCCUGUAGUGGGGGAUAGCCCGGCGAAAGCCGGAUUAAUACCGCAUACGAUCUACGGAUGACAGCGGGGGACCUUCGGGCCUCGCGCUAUAGGGUUGGCCGAUGGCUGAUUAGCUAGUUGGUGGGGUAAAGGCCUACCAAGGCGACGAUCAGUAGCUGGUCUGAGAGGACGACCAGCCACACUGGGACUGAGACACGGCCCAGACUCCUACGGGAGGCAGCAGUGGGGAAUUUUGGACAAUGGGCGAAAGCCUGAUCCAGCAAUGCCGCGUGUGUGAAGAAGGCCUUCGGGUUGUAAAGCACUUUUGUCCGGAAAGAAAUCCUUGGCCCUAAUACGGUCGGGGGAUGACGGUACCGGAAGAAUAAGCACCGGCUAACUACGUG
rnacentral:rRNA from 1 species